UACGUAGGUGGCAAGCGUUGUCCGGAUUUAUUGGGCGUAAAGCGCGCGCAGGCGGUUCGAAAAGUCCAUGGUGAAAGCGCCUGGCUCAACUGGGCGAGUGCCGUGGGGACUGUCGAGAUGGAGGGAAGCAGAGGCGAGUGGAAUUCCGGGUGUAGUGGUGAAAUGCGUAGAGAUCCGGAGGAACACCAGUGGCGGAGGCGGCUCGCUGGGCUUUACCUGACGCUGAGGCGCGAAAGCGUGGGGAGCGAACCGG
rnacentral:rRNA from 1 species